rnacentral:lncRNA from 10 species
GGAGACUCCAGGUGCAGGAGAGGGGGAGGUGGACUUCCUCUUGGUCUUCCCAAGCCAUGAAACUUCCUGGCUUGGUGGUAACAGAAGAGUCUCCUCCAGUUCCCUUGAAGAAUCCACCUUCCUGCAGGGUUGGGGGAGCGCAGAAUGGGAGGAAGAUACAAAUACCAAUUUUAUAGCAAGAAUGCAAAAAGAGGCCAGCGCGGUGGCUCGAGCCUGGAAUCCCAGCACUUUGGAAGGCGAGCUGGGCGGAUCACUUGAGAUGUGACCAGGUGACCCCCCUCUGGCCAGGGAACAAUGGGCCGAAGUCCUCAGGGGAUUUGUGGGGAAGCGCGCCCCCUCCUCCUUGGGGUUUUCUUGCGGAGCUGCUGUGAAGACUCAGCUCAGCUGUGAUAAUUACCUGAGGUCAGCUUCUCCAGAAUGCCCUUAUCUCCUAAGGCCUUUGAGAUAAGCAGGAAUUGUGGUGUCUGCCUUGCCUCCAAACCUUUAUCCUUGCUUAUCUCAGUGGAAAAUUCCAGCAGGGAUUUCUGAACACCAAGUUAAAUUCCUCCACUCAACAAUCAGUUUGGCACGUGGCUGCCCGCCAGUCUGGGCAGAACAGAGGGGAGCCAAGGGAAUAAACCCAAGUCCUGCCCCCAGGUGCCCAGAGCCUGGCGGGGAUGGGACAGUUGCCUGCAGAGCAAGAGGCUGCCACCCAGUUUCACACAGGCCAGAGAGGCUGACCUACCUGCCCAGAGGCAGGGGAAGAAUCCAGAGGACCUCUCCCGGAGGAGGCACGAGAAGCCCACGUGGCAGCCAAGAAGAGGGAGAGCAUCCUGGGCCCCGGAAGCACAAUGCCAGGGGCAGACAUGCACUGGGAGGCACGGGGCCAGGGACACCUUCAGUGAGCACAGGGUCUGGGUAGGCUUCGGGAGGGGUGAGGGCGGAGAGGCAGCCAAGCCGGGUUGUGGGAGGCCCUGCCUAAUUCUGUAAAGACUAGGAUUAGAAACAUGACAAAAAUGGGUUAGGCACGGUGGCUCACACCUGUUAUCCACUUUGGGAGGCUGAGGCUGGUGGAUCAUCUGAGGCUGGGAGUUCAAGACCAACCUGGCCAACAUGGUGAAACCCCGUCUCUACUAAAAAUACAAAAAUUAGCCGGGCGUGGUGGCGCACACCUAUUAAUCCCAGGUACUAAGGAGGUUGAGGCAGGAGAAUUGCUUCAACCCAGGAGGCAGAGGUUGCAGUGAGCCCAGACCAUGCCACUGCACUCCAGCCUGGGCAACAGAACAAGUCUCUGUCUGAAAAAUAAAAUAAAAUAACAAAAA